rnacentral:rRNA from 1 species
GUUCCCAUUUCGAACACAGAAGUUAAGCUCUCUAGCGCUGAUGGUACUUGGUGGGAAACUGCCUGGGAGAGUAGGACGUAGCCACGU